rnacentral:ncRNA from 2 species
UAGCUAAAUAAAGUUUCGUGUUCUUGCUAUGCGAGCUAAGAGGGAAGUAGGUUGAAUUCCUACGCGGUCCCGCCACUGUAAAGCGAGUAGCCAAUCUCAAUUAUAAGCCACUGAUUUUUCGGGAAGGCUGAGAGAGGUGUUGAUACGUUGAGCCAGGAGACCUGCACGGAAUGUUUCAUUUGG